UUAUCGACAUGGAAAAACACGUAUACUAAUAAAGAGAAAAUGCUCUAAAAUAUUUCUGUGAACAUCAGCUACCACAGGCCUGUGAUCUGGACUUUGAUUCUAUGAGGUUGCUCAGUUCGUCUUCUCUACUGGAAAGCUUUCUAUAUCAUCACAGUCAGAAGGAAAACGCACCUUUGAUAAUUGUUCCAAAAAGCUGGAUUACGUCUUCUGUUGAAGAAGAUAUCACGGAUGUCACCGCUAUUUAAGAAGGAGACAUCAAAGGCCUGGAGAACAGAGGUUUGAAAUCUUCAAAAGUAUUCAUCACAGCAAAGAAACAAAGAAAUAUUGGUUGUGUUUACGGUCUCCUUAUCACAUUCGCAAGUCAUUUGGACUCUACUUUGUGACACAUUACACACAAAUCUUUCCAAGAGGUCUCCUCUUCAACACUAAUUUUAGGAUUUCUGCAGAUUCUAAACUGCCUUUUUCAUCUUUUUAGAAACUAUGGUAGCUUUAAACAUGGCUCCCAAUCCUUGGACACUGUUCUUUUAAGAGAAAGGAUGUCCCCUCCCCUUGAUUCUGGGUGAGCGUCUCACUAGUCAACCAAUAGAAGACAACAGAAAUGUCCCUGUGUCUGACUUCAGAGGCUAGAUUAUAAAAGGAUAUGCAACUUCCUUCUUGCUCACUAAGCAACACAGGAGAGCUCUGAGCUGUCAUAUAAGAAGUCCAAUUACCUUGAGGCAGCCACAUUGAAGGGGCCACAGGUAGGUAUCCUGGCUGACAAUUCCAGCAGAGACUGGCCUUCUAGCUAUUGCAUCAAGGAGCAGACAGGUGACUGAGGAAGCCAUCUUGAAAGUGGGUCCUUUGGUUCAGUCUACUGUCUUCCCAGCCAGGCUCCACGGCUCCUGGAGUAGAGGCAACCAAUUCCUGCUGAGUCCUUUCUGAAUGUCUGAGCCACCAAAUCCAUGAGCGAAAUAAUACAGUUCUACUUUGGUGUCACUAAGUUUGGGAUGAUUGUUACACUGCUAUAAAUUGAUUUGGCUUUAGAUCUGCAUUUUGUUGCUCCUUCUUUGCAGUCCAAUAGGCCCCUGCUCCACAUGACAUCCCAGAUACUAAUCAGUGCUUUACUUCACUAAUAUCUUCCUGGGAAAGCUUGGCCUAACUAU
rnacentral:lncRNA from 1 species